GAUGAACGCUGGCGGCGUGCCUAAUACAUGCAAGUCGAGCGAACAGAUGAGGAGCUUGCUCCUCUGACGUUAGCGGCGGACGGGUGAGUAACACGUGGAUAACCUACCUAUAAGACUGGGAUAACUUCGGGAAACCGGAGCUAAUACCGGAUAAUAUAUUGAACCGCAUGGUUCAAUAGUGAAAGACGGUUUUGCUGUCACUUAUAGAUGGAUCCGCGCCGCAUUAGCUAGUUGGUAAGGUAACGGCUUACCAAGGCAACGAUGCAUAGCCGACCUGAGAGGGUGAUCGGCCACACUGGAACUGAGACACGGUCCAGACUCCUACGGGAGGCAGCAGUAGGGAAUCUUCCGCAAUGGGCGAAAGCCUGACGGAGCAACGCCGCGUGAGUGAUGAAGGUCUUCGGAUCGUGAAACUCUGUUAUUAGGGAAGAACAAAUGUGUAAGUAACUAUGCACGUCUUGACGGUACCUAAUCAGAAAGCCACGGCUAACUACGUG
rnacentral:rRNA from 1 species